CCCUUAGAUGUUCUGGGCCGCACGCGCGCUACAAUGGUCUUCGCAAACGGAUGCAUUCUCGAAGGAGAAUGCCAAUCUUGGAAUCUAUGCCUUGGUCGGGACAGUUGCUUGCAAUUUUUCGACUCGAACCAGGAAUUCCUUGUAAUCGUGAUUCAUCACAUCACGAUGAAUACGUCCCUGCCCUUUGUACACACCGCCCGUCGCUCCUACCGAUCGAAGAGUUAGGCGAAUUGUUUUGAUCGAUAAGAUUUGACUAUGGUCAACUCUCGUUGUGAAAUUCUGUGAAUCUGACUGUUUAGAGGAAGGAAAAGUCGUAACA
rnacentral:rRNA from 1 species